UACGUAGGGGGCGAGCGUUGUCCGGAUUUAUUGGGCGUAAAGAGCGUGUAGGCGGCCAGGUAGGUCCGUUGUGAAAACUCGAGGCUCAACCUCGAGACGUCGGCGGAAACCCUCUGGCUAGAGUCCGGAAGAGGAGAGUGGAAUUCCUGGUGUAGCGGUGAAAUGCGCAGAUAUCAGGAAGAACACCCGUGGCGAAGGCGGCUCUCUGGGACGGUACUGACGCUGAGACGCGAAAGCUAGGGGAGCAAACGGG
rnacentral:rRNA from 1 species